UACGAGUGGUGCUAGCGUUAUUCGGAUUUAUUGGGCGUAAAGGGUUCGUAGGCGGCUUUUUAAGUCUGUUGUUUAAUCUCCCGGCCUAACCGGGAACCAGCAACGGAAACUAUUUGGCUAGAGGAUGGAAGAGAGAAGUGGAAUUCUCGGAGUAGCGGUAAAAUGCGUAGAUCUCGAGAGGAACACUGAUGGCGAAGGCAGCUUCUUGGUCCAUUCCUGACGCUGAGGAACGAAAGCGUGGGGAGCAAACAGG
rnacentral:rRNA from 1 species